rnacentral:rRNA from 1 species
UACAGAGGUCUCGAGCGUUGUUCGGAUUUAUUGGGCGUAAAGAGCGUGUAGGCGGCUUUACAAGUCCGUUGUGAAAACUCGAGGCUCAACCUCGAGACGCCGGUGGAAACCGUAAAGCUAGAGUCCGGAAGAGGAGAGUGGAAUUCCUGGUGUAGCGGUGAAAUGCGCAGAUAUCAGGAGGAACACCCGUGGCGAAAGCGGCUCUCUGGGACGGUACUGACGCUGAGACGCGAAAGCGUGGGGAGCAAACAGG